AUGCACGCUGGCGGCGUGCCUAAUACAUGCAGGUCGAGCGAACAGACGAGGAGCUUGCUCCUCUGACGUUAGCGGCGGACGGGUGAGUAACACGUGGAUAACCUACCUAUAAGACUGGGAUAACUUCGGGAAACCGGAGCUAAUACCGGAUAAUAUAUUGAACCGCAUGGUUCAAUAGUGAAAGACGGUUUUGCUGUCACUUAUAGAUGGAUCCGCGCCGCAUUAGCUAGUUGGUAAGGUAACGGCUUACCAAGGCAACGAUGCGUAGCCGACCUGAGAGGGUGAUCGGCCACACUGGAACUGAGACACGGUCCAGACUCCUACGGGAGGCAGCAGUAGAGAAUCUUCCGCAAUGGGCGAAAGCCUGACGGAGCAACGCCGCGUGAGUGAUGAAGGUCUUCGGAUCGUAAAACUCUGUUAUUAGGGAAGAACAAAUGUGUAAGUAACUAUGCACGUCUUGACGGUACCUAAUCAGAAAGCCACGGCUAACUACGUG
rnacentral:rRNA from 1 species